UCGACACGUGUCAUGUACUCAGCGUUUCAUUAAUUUUGGUCGGCUUAUGGGCUUCAUUGUUACGGGCUUUAUCUGUAUUCUCAAAAUUGGUACAGCCCGAUUCCAGUAUGUCUUAGUUUAAACGCGUAUUAACUGUUUUUGCAAUUAGGGUUGAAGCAUACUUCUCCGCCAUUGGAGAUUGAGGCUUAACCUGUGUUCCAAGAGCGAGCGUUUCAUCUUCUUCCUUAUCAAUCUGCAGUGAUACCGGUUACAGAUUACCCCUCUUCAACUCUUUCUUAAAUACAUACCCAUGAUCUCUCUUGAAUGCGAUCUUAACUCAUGAAAGGUGGUGGAAUUUCGACUAUAAAAGGUUGCUCUGUUAUUGGGAGGCCAGGAACAUCGGAUGCGGUGGCGAACUCAUGGGAGUCGAUAUGUUGCUGCUUGAUUCCCAGAUUGUAAAGAAAGAUGAAGAUGUGAAAGUGAUUGUAGCAGGUGAUGACGAUUGGUUGCCUCCGUCACCAAAGGUUGUAUUCGAUGAAAGCAAAGAGUUAGGUGGAGAGUCUACCAUUAAAGCUGUGAGGUAGUUUUGUAUGUGUUGAGUAUUUUUCCAUCUAUGUGCUUACCAGCUUCAUAUUAGAAGCCACGGUUUGAACACUGCUAGCUUUAAUUUUUUAAUGCUCCUUGAUGAUAUCAUCCAAAUAGUUUCUGUGUUAUACUUUGAUUCUUAAGUUUUGAAUUGAAAUAUCCAAUGUAUUAGAAGCUAUGAUUUUGUAGUGCUUCUUAUGUUUCUAUUAGAAGCUACUAUUUUUUCCUCCAACGCUAUAUCUGUUCGUCGAUUUCACUCACAUAAAGCGAUUAUUUAGGACACAGCUAACCAUUUUUUUUUAAUUCGUCCUUAAUGACAUCACCCAAAAGUCUCUAUUAUUACACUUUGACCCUUAAGUUCGGAAUUGAAAUGUGCACUGCAUGUGGAAGAAGAUGAGCUCAUGUCAUUCACAAAAAUUAUAGUAGAUGCGAUGCAGGAAGCCAAGGUUUCUGCUAGCAAUGAAGCUGAAAUAUCUCAAAACAUUCUCAGAGGCAGCUGCUGCUCAGGUGGAUCUCAGAUCAUUAGAACUUUAGGACACACACAAGCUUUUAGCCGUUCUAAAAACAAUCAUCUCGGACUAAUUAACUCUUUCUUCCUAUCAUCUUUGGUUGAUGAUCUCUUCUUUCUCUUAGAUGAAUCGAACGAUGCUGUUGUUAAAAUCAGAUCCGCACAGCUUUCACCAAAGGCGUUGAACCACCUUAAACGCGACAACCAAAACACUGAUGGAAAACACAGGAGAGAAAGUUGGGGAUGCGUUUGGAGAUGCAGCAGAGUUGCUUACGUCUUCGGUCUCAAGUCCUCCUCCCUUCGUUGCACUCUUCACACUACAAAUUUACGCAAAGACAAUACAUCUAUUAUUAUUUUUUUGGGCAACGGCAAUACAUUUAUUUAAAAUAACGUUUAUAUAAUGUUCAAAAAAGUAACGUUUUUAUAUUAUAUAACUAGGGAAAGUGAUGACUUUCAAAACUAAAACAACGUCAUGUAUAUUUGUUUUCUUACUUUUAUAUUUUGGUUACUUUGAUCUAUUAAGUUUACCAGGAAUAUAAAUGAAGAACAAGAAAUACAAUCUAUUUUGCUUACUUUAAUAUAUUAAGUUUACCAGAAAUAGAUAACUCAUUCUUUUCAGUGUUCAAAUAUUCUUGCAGCUUGGAAUCUACUGAAGUGGAUGAUCUAGAGAGGAGAUUGACUUAGCUAUGAUGAAUCUGAAAGAUGAACCUACUUAUUUGUAGGUAUCACUCAUCAUGCAUCAAAUGAAAGCAGCUCCGUUGAUUAUUUUUAAAGUUGUGUUCUGUCAAAUAGUGUAAACAAAAUAUGUUUUAGAUUUUUUUCUUGAUUCAAAGAAUGUUUUAGGUUCAUGCCUCAAAUGAAAACAGCUCCGUCAUAUCAUUUAUGUAUUUUUUAUAAGUAUUGUAUUCUUCCUAAUGAUAGACAAAGUAUUCAGAUUUUUGUCUGGAUUUUAAGGCAUUCCUAUCGUCUAAUUCACCGUUGUUAGUUAGAAACUUGGAAUUCUGCUAAGCUAAGGACUCAGCAAAGAUAUUAGUGGUAUUUACCAUUUUAUCAGAUUCUUUAAAGUUUGAUUUUUAUAUCGUAUUCCUAGAUUAUGUAAUGCAGUGGCUGAUGCAGUGGCAAAAUCAGGUAUCUUCUGCAAAAUCAGGUGUUUUCACUAUAAACUUGACCUUCUUUUGUGGUGGGUAAACUUGCUUUUAUUUUAACUAAUCAUAGUUCCACCAAAAAAAUAAAGGAAAUCAAAAUAAUAUAAUCACUAAUUAUCCCUUGAAAACUAAACAAUAAUAUUUUUUAGAAAGUCCUUACUAUUUUGGAUGAUAUGGUUUAUUUGAUAACUAUAAAAUAUGUAAAUCUCUAAGCGAAAAAAUAAUAGGUAAAUUUUACUUUUUACAUAAUUUAAAAUAAUAUUGGAUUUCAAAGAGAAUGUAAAAAAAAUACUAACAAUAUAUAAAAGAGAAAAAACAUAUAUGUAAAUCUCAACCGCAAUUUUGAAUAAUGCCAGUAUAUAAAAUAAAAAUAAAAUUUCUUUAUUAGCUAGAUAAGCAUAUGAUUUCCAAUAAAAAUAACAAAACUGAAUAACAAAUAUAUUUAAAAUCAUUUUCAAGUUGAGAAUAAAUUAAAUAUUUUUUUCUUACUUCCCGCCCGUAGGGUGGGCCUAUCCUAGUUGUUAACGUACUAAUAAUUCAUUGUGUUUCUUCUGUCCUCAUGUACUGUGUUUCGAAAUGGCUGAAGCUGAGAGUCGUUCUGAUGGUUAUAGAAUAUUGAGUCGGUAAAAUCAGGUAACCAAUUGUAAUCUCUUUGGAAGGUUUGAUUUUUUUUAAAUAUAUGAUUCACAUGCAUAUAUGGCCCCAAUUGUAAUCUCUUUGGAAGGUUUGAUUUUUUUUUAAAUAUAUGAUUCACAUGCAUAUAUGGCGCAUCUAACAUCAAUGUAAUUGAUGUGAUGGUGAUGAAGACAAGUUGCGGAGGAUACAUUUAAUAUAGAAUUGGUGCUGGAAAUGAAGUAUGCAAGGAUUAAAAUUGAUGAUAAGAUUCACGACACAUUUAGAGAAUGUCUUUUUGCUUUAAUGAACGUUGAGAGAGAGAGGAAAAAUUUACAUGAAGAAAAGAAGAAAGAUAAAAGAGAUGAUAAAACAAGGUUCAAAUUUUAACCUCUCUCCUCUGUAUUUCUUCUCCGACCCCUCUCUCCGCCAAGAAAUAAACUUUCCGCUGACCGGCACGCGCUGGAUCUGAUAGCACCACCACCGUUUAGAUCCUCUGUAGAUUCUCUUUCUUUAUGUUUAGCCUUUUAUCGUUUUCAAUUUUGAUGAGUUUUGGGUCUGAUUUUUGAGAUUGUUCAUGAGCUUGGUGAGAUCUGUCUUCUCUCUAUGGUUUCCGUUGCAUGCCAGACCACGGUUCUUAUUGGUUUGUAGAUGCAGCAGAGUUUAUUUUUGGUUGUAGUGGCACUGUUGGUUCAAGAUCUCGAAAUGGUGGAGACGCAACUCGACGAUUGAGUCAAAUCGAUAGAGGAGAGUCAUUCAGAUUGCUAUGAGUCACAUCAAAACCGCUUAUUGAACCCGCCUUUAUAAGAUGCUUGUACAUAAACAAAAGAUAGACCGCCUUGGAGAAGAUAAACUCACAUUGAAGUCUAUUAGAUCGUGGUUGAUGGAGUUAAGAAGAGGAUUAAGGUGAUGAAUCAGUAAGUGAGAGCGUUUCAGAUUGUGAAAAAGAAGAUGAAACAACGCGUUUGAAACCUACGUAGAGAUUCUUAAAAUCGACAUACGCUUUGGAACGGCGGAGAACAAAAGUUCGAAGAACCCUAAUAUCAUGUCGGAGUUGCUUACUGAGACGCUUACGUUUGCAACUGCACUCUAUUGGGCUGUUCCUUCAGCGAAACAUAAGGCCCAAACACAAACUAAAACACACCUCUAUUGAAUUAUUAGUUAAUGAAACGCGAAGUUUUAAUCAGA